rnacentral:rRNA from 1 species
UACGGGGGGGGCAAGCGUUGUUCGGAAUUACUGGGCGUAAAGGGUUCGUAGGUUGCCAACUAAGUCAGACGUGAAAUCCCUCAGCUUAACUGGGGAACUGCGUCUGAGACUGGAUGGCUUGAGUGCAGGAGAGGAACGCGGAAUUCCAGGUGUAGCGGUGAAAUGCGUAGAUAUCUGGAGGAACACCGGUGGCGAAGGCGGCGUUCUGGACUGCAACUGACACUGAGGAACGAAAGCGUGGGGAGCGAACAGG